GACAGAGGCCCCAAGCGUUAGGCGGAAUCACUGGGCUUAAAGCGUGUGUAGGCGGAUCUUAAGUGUCUUGUGAAAUCCCACGGCUCACCCGUGGAACGGCUGGGCAUACUGGCGUCUUGGGCCAACUAGGGCAGUCGGAACAAGCGGUGGAGCGGUGAAAUGCGUAGAUAUCGUAAGGAAGACCAGUGGCGAAGGCGGGUCUCUGGACAGUUCCUGACGCUGAGGCACGAAGGUCAGGGGAGCAAACGGG
rnacentral:rRNA from 1 species